UACGUAGGGUGCGAGCGUUGUCCGGAAUUAUUGGGCGUAAAGAGCUCGUAGGUGGUUUGUCGCGUUGUUCGUGAAAUCUCACGGCUUAACUGUGAGCGUGCGGGCGAUACGGGCAGACUAGAGUACUGCAGGGGAGACUGGAAUUCCUGGUGUAGCGGUGGAAUGCGCAGAUAUCAGGAGGAACACCGGUGGCGAAGGCGGGUCUCUGGGCCGUAACUGACGCUGAGGAGCGAAAGCAUGGGGGAGCGAACAGG
rnacentral:rRNA from 1 species